rnacentral:rRNA from 1 species
UACGUAGGCAGCGAGCGUUGUUCGGAGUUACUGGGCGUAAAGGGUGUGUAGGCGGUUGUUUAAGUUUGGUGUGAAAUCUCCCGGCUCAACUGGGAGGGUGCGCCGAAUACUGAAUGACUUGGAGUGCGGGAGAGGAGAGUGGAAUUCCUGGUGUAGCGGUGAAAUGCGUAGAUAUCUGGAGGAACACCGGUGGUGUAAACGGCUUUCUGGACCAUUACUGACGCUGAUGCACGAAAGCGUGGGUAGCAAACAGG